UUUAGAGGAAGUAAAAGUCGUAACAAGGUUUCCGUAGGUGAACCUGCGGAAGGAUCAUUAGUGAAUCUUCAAAAGUCGGCUCUGUGGAUUGUGCUGGUGGAGACACAUGUGCACGUCCGCAAGGUCGCAAACCCCACACACCUGUGCAUCUAUGACUCUGAGUGCCGCUUUGCAUGGCCUUGACCGGCCUGGCGCUCGAGUACUUUCACACACUCUUGAAUGUAACGGAAUGUCUUGUUGUGCAUAACGUACAAACAGAAACAACUUUCAACAACGGAUCUCUUGGCUCUCGCAUCGAUGAAGAACGCAGCGAAAUGCGAUAAGUAAUGUGAAUUGCAGAAUUCAGUGAAUCAUCGAAUCUUUGAACGCACCUUGCACCCUUUGGUAUUCCGAAGGGUACGCCCGUUUGAGUGUCAUUGUAAUCUCACUACCAUUGACUUUGGUCUUUUGGUAUGUGGACUUGGAUGUUGCCGUCGAUGUCUACGGCUCGUCUGAAAUGCUUCAGUGUACCCAGCUUUGCGGCGUAUUCGGUGUGAUACAUCUUCACCGGAGUUGAUCCUUUUAGGGGUCGCGUCUGUAAUGUGUGGCUCUAUGCUUCCAACCGUCUCUCGAGACAAUCUCUGACAAUUUGACCUCAAAUCGGGUGGGACUACCCGCUGAACUUAAGCAUAUCAAUAAGCGGAGGAAAAGAAACUAACAAGGAUUCCCCUAGUAACGGCGAGUGAAGAGGGAAAAGCUCAAAUUUUGAAUCUGGUGUCUUUGACUCCCGAGUUGUAAUCUAGAGAAGUGUUUUCCGUGUCGGACCGUGCACAAGUUCCCUGGAACGGGGCGUCAUAGAGGGUGAGAAUCCCGUAUAUGGCACGGACUGCCGAUGCUUUUGUGAUACACUCUCAACGAGUCGAGUUGUUUGGGAAUGCAGCUCAAAAUGGGUGGUAAAUUCCAUCUAAAGCUAAAUAUUGGUGAGAGACCGAUAGCGAACAAGUACCGUGAGGGAAAGAUGAAAAGCACUUUGGAAAGAGAGUGAAACAGUACGUGAAAUUGUUGAAAGGGAAGCGUUUGAAGUCAGUCGUAUCUGGCGGGAUUCAGCUGGGCUUUUGCCCGGUGUACUUCUCGUCCGAUGGGUCAGCAUCAAUUUCGACCGGGGGAAAAAGAUGUGGGGAAUGUGGCUGUCUACGGGCAGUGUUAUAGCCCCGCGUUGUAUGCCUCUGUUGGGAUUGAGGAACGCAGCGCGCCUAUAGGCCAGGGGCUACCCGCCUCUUGACACGCGCUUAGGAUGCUGGCAUAAUGGCUUUAAGCGACCCGUCUUG
rnacentral:rRNA from 1 species